GGGUCCGGACACACUGAGGAUUGACAGGCAAAAGAUACAAGUUUUCUUUGAAAGCUUGCAUUGUAAAAUAUGCGAGUCCUUUCAUGAUUAUGUGAUAGGUGGUGCAUGGCCGUUCUUAGUUCGUGGAGUGAUCUGUCUGCUUAAUUGCGUUUCACAACGAUUUAAAAUGCUAUGUUUUCUGUGUUUGCUGUUCGGUUUUAGCUCUUACGGGAGUUUUUAACUUUGAACGCACACGGCGUAGCUUAAAACAAUCGGAAAGCAACGAACGUGACCGCAACCUCUUGUUGCCUUUAUUUUUAAAAGCGUGGAAAAUUUUAUUUUCUUACGCUUGAAAAAGGCUUUAAAACUAGAGGGACCGCUGUUCUAUUCUCUUAAACCAGAGGAAGAUUGCGGCAAUAACAGGUCUGUGAUGCCCUCAGAUGUUCCGGGCUGCACACGUGCUACAAUGAUUGUUGCAGUGAGCAUCUAUUUUCAAACGCUACCGUUGCGGAUUUUGUGAGAAGGGGGCUUGUUUUAAAGCUUUCGGGUGGAGAAGCAGGUUUCUUUUUUUCACAAUUUAUUCCGCGUUACGUGUCAGCUAAACCUGCUUCGAAAGCAAGUAGGU
rnacentral:rRNA from 1 species